AUACGUUUCCUCCUGAAAUCUUUACCACAAUUACGAACCAUCUAGGUUAUAAAAGUCAAAAUUCACUUACCAAUUUUGUUCGAACAAUCGAAUUACCCCUUCAUUUUUUACUUUCUCGUUUUUAUAUUUAUCUUGCAAGAACAAUCAAACAAUGGUGCGAACGGUAAAGAAGGAAUUGAUGGACAAUCGAGCACCAGAAUGCAGAAUGCUACAGUCGAAAUAUCUCACCUUUAAGAAUCAGAUUAGCAGUAAUUUGAUUUCACAUCAUUUUAGUAAUUUCUUUGGUUUUUUUUUCCAUAUUCUUUUUUUUUCAUAUUUGUUUAGUUUGAUUAAUUUGUAUUUAGCGAAGAGAUUAAUGAAAGCGCUUAUUGCAAAAAUCUCUAUAUUUCGUUCUGUUUUGUCUUCAUAUAUUGUAAAAAAUUGUGUGUUUUAAUCUUUAAUUUAAUUUUCUUCCAAAAUGGGUGCUUUUGGGAAGUGGAUAAAAUCACUCGUUGGUCUGAAAAAAUGGGGAUCAAAUGACUCUAUAAGCUAAUAAUCUUUCUAUUAUCUUUAUAUGAUUUUUUUUUUUUUUGAUGUUUUAAGCAAUGAUUUUUAUAUUGAAUUGUGUUGAGCCUAAUAAUCUUUGUAUUAUCUUUAUAUGAUUUUUUUGGUGUUUAAUUAAUGAUUUUUAUAUUGAACUAUGUUGAGCUUAAUUCAUAUCUAAUGAUGUGUUUGGUUGGGCUUAAUAGUUGUUGUUGACUUCUUGUUGCCUUUUUGGUUUAAUGAUUGUUAUUGUUGUGUCGUCCACAAGUUGCUCGCCGAAAAUGCCUGCUCGAUUUGUGCUAGACUGAUAGGGUUCGUCUUGAAACAAGUACGAGCCGCCCACGGGUCGAGUCCCAAUGGUCGAGCUGAUGAUAUCACUGUUUAGCCCGUGCUUCCAAAUUCUUGGAUCUGCCCGUGGACGGAAGAAGUAGGUAUUGAUAUCAGAAACAACAGAGCUGAAUUAGACGUUUUAUUUUCAGAAUUAUAGGUGGCAAAAACAGAGGUGGUUUCCAAUUUCGUUUUACAAGUUAGUUGUCUCAUUUUUAUUUACUUAUGGCAAGAAUAUUGCAAUUCAUUUCUCCUUUCUCUGAACUUUGCUGGUAUAUCUUAGAUCUUUGUCUGAUUAGAAGUUCGCAUUUCCUCGUGUUGAAUAUUAUUGUAUUUGGUUCAAUCUUUGAUGGUUUUCAAUAAGACACUUUGCUUCGGAUGAAUGCUUUCAUAAUUUUAGUGUAUUUUUAGCUGAAGGAACAUUAAUUUACGAAUGGUACAUUAAUUUUCUGUACAGAAUGCAAAAGAACUUGUAUGUAUUAGAUCAAUUUAGAAACUUGAAACCAUGAACAAAGAUUCAUAUCAGUGAUUCCGCUCGUAAGUCGGAAAUUUCUCCUAAUUUCAAGGGAUCUUACAGAUUGAUCAGUAAUUGGUCAAUCUAGAUAGUGGCUGCACGAAAUAAGACUGUUACUUAACCAAGUCAGAAGAUCUUUUUAUCUUUAUGAAUACGAUCACUUAAUAUUUCUUAGUUAUGACACCUGUCUUUGAUGCUUUUACAGGAGUACGAACAUGCUUACUCAUGUUCUUGAAUUGAGGCCGUUGACAUGUCGAAUGAUUUUCUUCUAACGAGAAGGCAGGUGAUUGUUAAAGAAUUAGCGUGUGAAUUAUCAAGACUGCACAGCACAAAAUCUGGCCUGUGGAGCAUGAGAUUUAGCCGAUCUUCCCCCACCACCAAG
rnacentral:lncRNA from 1 species